AAAGGAGAGAUCCGGCAUAGGAUGGACAUGCGUCGCAUUAGGUAGACGGCGGGGUAACGGCCCACCGUGCCGACGAUGCGUAGGGGUUCUGAGAGGAAGGCCCCCCACACUGGUACUGAGACACGGACCAGACUCCUACGGGAGGCAGCAGUGAGGAAUAUUGGUCAAUGGCCGAGAGGCUGAACCAGCCAAGUCGCGUGAGGGAAGAAUGUCCUAAGGAUUGUAAACCUCUUUUGUCGGGGAGCAAAAAGGCUCUGCGGAGUCGUAUUGAGAGUACCCGAAGAAAAAGCAUCGGAUAACUCCGUGCCAGCAGCCGCGGUAAUACGGAGGAUGCGAGCGUUAUCCGGAUUUAUUGGGUUUAAAGGGUGCGCAGGCGGCGUGUCAAGCAAGCGGUAAAAUAGCGGGGCUCAACCCCGUCGAGCCGUUUGAACUGGCGCGCUUGAGUUCAGGCGAGGUAGGCGGAAUUCGUGGUGUAGCGGUGAAAUGCAUAGAUAUCACGAAGAACUCCGAUUGCGAAGGCAGCUUACCAGUCUGCGACUGACGCUCAGGCACGAAAGUGUGGGUAUCGAACAGGAUUAGAUACCCUGGUAGUCCACACAGUAAACGAUGAGCGCUAGGUGUCCGGGUCGCAUGAGACUUGG
rnacentral:rRNA from 1 species